rnacentral:lncRNA from 1 species
GAUAUUGUAGGACGGUAUCUUCUUAGAUCAAUUUGUUGAACUCUCAACAAUAUUGACUCUAACUAACUCUCCAAAUCUUCUAUAAACUUCCACCUCAAAUACUUCCUAUUCGAACAUAUUUAGGUCAUUUACUAACCCAUGGAAUGAAAUCUCAGCAUUGUCUCCUAUAUACAGUGAAGUAGUUGCCACUUUACUAUUU